GGUGGAAAUAGAGCCGUCAAAAUGGACGAUACAGCUACCCGUGACCUAUAUCUGGAAUGGAAGAAUGUACAUAGCUGAUGAUUACAACAGUGAAUUCUCAAUUUACGACUGCAGCGGUCACCUUUUGAAAAAGAUCUGGCCGAAGGAAUGUGCAGCUAUAAAUGGCUUCAGAAGCUUGUACUUUGUACCAGAACAUAUUUAUAACAACGUGUAACAUAGAGAAAGACCUUCCUUCCUGGUGAUGUUCUGGCAGCCUUUGAGAUGUACAGCAUUGUCAGUGGCAGCAGUGACCUCAUGAUCACAUCAGACACCUCACUGAGGGAAGGAGAAGGGUGGAGGUUGUCAUCCGGGCACGUGGCGGUUCCACUCACCACUUUUUUUGUUUUGGACUCUGGUUCUUUGUAAGAUUAGACUGCACGUCUUGACAGAAGUAGUAAAGUAUACCUGAUUGUAGAACCUUCCAGAUCCACAGUCUUUGUGGUUCUCGUUUUACCUCAAAUACAGUA